CUGGAUCGAUACCGAGGCAGGCGAUUUGCCUGGGGGUAUGACUGUGUGAACAGCGGUUGCACUGUGUGCAUCACCGAACCCCUGAUACCUCAACAAAACCCAAGCCCUCCGGCGCACAGGUAUCGUUCA
rfam:Dickeya dadantii 3937, complete genome.